AACCCCCUUGGCCUUCAGUGGCUGUGGGGAAACAGGACUUUUACUUUGAAAAAAUUAGAGUGCUCCAGGCAGGCCUAUGCUCGAAUACAUUAGCAUGGAAUAAUAGAAUAGGACGUGUGGUUCUAUUUUGUUGGUUUCUAGGACCGCCGUAAUGAUUAAUAGGGACAGUCGGGGGCAUCAGUAUUCAAUUGUCAGAGGUGAAAUUCUUGGAUCUAUUGAAGACUAACUACUGCGAAAGCAUUUGCCAAGGAUGUUUUCAUUGAUAAGGAACGAAAGUUAGGGGAUCGAAGACGAUCAGAUACCGUCGUAGUCUUAACUAUAAACUAUGCCGACUAGGGAUCGGACGAUGUUAUU
rnacentral:rRNA from 1 species